rnacentral:rRNA from 1 species
UACGAAGGUGGCAAGCGUUACUCGGAAUUACUAGGCGUAAAGCGCAGGUAGGUGGUGUGAUAAGUCCGUAAUGAAAUCUCCCGGCUUAACUGGGAGGGGUUUAGGGAUACUGUCAUGCUUGAGUGUGGUAGAGGUAACUGGAAUUCCCGGUGUAGCGGUGAAAUUCGUAGAUAUCGGGAGGAACACCAGUGGCGAAGGCGGCGACCUGGGCCAAUACUGACGCUGAGGUGCGAAAGCGUGGGAGC